rnacentral:rRNA from 1 species
UCGCAUGGAUCUUGUUUGAAAGAUUAAUCGGUUGCGGAUUGGCUCGCGUCCCAUUAGCUAGUCGGCGGGGUAACGGCCCACCGAGGCGACGAUGGGUAGGGGUUCUGAGAGGAAGGUCCCCCACAAUGGAACUGAGACACGGUCCAUACUCCUACGGGAGGCAGCAGUGAGGAAUAUUGGUCAAUGGGCGGAAGCCUGAACCAGCCAUGCCGCGUGCAGGACGACGGCCCUAUGGGUUGUAAACUGCUUUUGCGAGGGAGCAAUAAGGGCCUCGAGCAGGUCCGAUGAGAGUACCUUGCGAAUAAGCAUCGGCUAACUCCGUGCCAGCAGCCGCGGUAAUACGGAGGAUGCGAGCGUUAUCCGGAUUUAUUGGGUUUAAAGGGUGCGUAGGCUGUUAGUUAAGUCAGGGGUGAAAUGCCGGUGCUCAACGCCGGAGCUGCCCUUGAUACUGGCUGGCUGGAGUGCGGAUGCCGUUGGAGGAAUGAGUGGUGUAGCGGUGAAAUGCUUAGAGAUCACUCAGAACACCGAUUGCGAAGGCAUCUGACGAAUCCGUCACUGACGCUGAGGCACGAAAGCGUGG